rnacentral:rRNA from 1 species
ACUCAAAUGAAUUGACGGGGGCCCGCACAAGCAGCGGAGCGUGUGGUUUAAUUCGACGCACCACGCAGAACCUUACCCAGGCUUGACAUGCGCCUGCGGGUCGCGGAAACGCGGCCGCCUUCGAGGGGGGCGCACCGGUGCUGCAUGGCUGUCGUCAGCUCGUGUCGUGAGAUGUUGGGUUAAGUCCCGCAACGAGCGCAACCCUUGCCCCGUGUUACUUGUGUCACGGGGGACUGCCGCUGGGUUCCAGCGGAGGAAGGCGGGGAUGACGUCAAGUCCGCAUGGCCCCGACGCCUGGGGCGACACACACGCUACAAUGGCCGCAGGAGCGCGCGGCGACCUGGCAACGGGGAGCUAAUCGCGAAGGGCGGUCUCAGUGCAGAUUGGGGGCUGCAACUCGCCCCCAUGAAGGCGGAGUUGCUAGUAACCGCGUGUCAGCAAAGCGCGGUGAAUACGUACCCGGGCCUUGUACACACCGCCCGU